AAAGAAGCAGAGAGGAGGAAGGGCAGAGAUGGUUCUGGAAUUCGAUCCCGCCUUCAUCCAAGCCCCCGAGCACCGCCCCAAGCCCGCCGUCGCCGAGGCCGGCAGCAUCCCCCUCAUCGAUCUCUCCCCUCUCCACCUCCUCGAACAACACGGGGGACCACUGGUGGAGGGGUUGGAGGUGUUGGUGGCGCAGGUGGAGGCGGCUUGCCGUGAAUGGGGCUUCUUCCAGGUGAUCAACCAUGGGGUGCCGCCGACAGUGGUGGAACGAGCGUGGGCCGCGUCGAGGGGGUUCUUCGCGCUGCCGCCGGAGGAGAGGCGGCGUGUGCGGCGGGACGAGGUGAACCCGCUGGGGUACUACGAGGCGGAGAACACCAAGAAUGUCCGGGACUGGAAGGAGGUGUUCGAUUUCGUGGUCCACGAGCGAGCCGUCAUCCCUUCCCCUGGCGACGCCGGUGGAGGCGUCGAUAGGCUGAUCGAACUGCGCAACCAGUGGCCGCAGUUACCCCAUGGAUUCAGGUAAAGUUAGGUUCUGGAUCUGCAGAACGAAUUAGAGGGGUUGGAAAUUUCAAGCUCUGCUUCUUCAUCUGUGAUGGAUAGGGAAGCACUUGUUGAGUACGCUCAGGCCACGGAGGAGUUGGCUUUCACACUGCUGGAGCUGAUAUCACUAACCUUGAGCUUGCCGCCAAAGCGACUGCACGGCUUCUUCAAGGACCAGACCAGCUUCAUCAGGCUCAAUCACUACCCGCCCUGCCCCUCCCCUCACCUCGCCCUCGGAGUCGGCCGCCACAAGGACUCCGGAGCCCUCACCAUCCUCGCUCAGGACGACGUCGGCGGCCUCGACGUAAGGAGGCGGUCCGACGGCGAGUGGGUUCGCGUCAAGCCCAUCCCCAACUCCUUCAUCAUCAACGUCGGUGACAUCGUUCAGGUGAUCAAUCUUCUCCUCAACUCUGCAUGCGUCGAGUCCAUCCUAACACUUCUCGGCGAUCGCAGGUGUGGAGCAAUGACAAGUACGAGAGUGCAGAGCACAGGGUGUCGGUGAACUCCGAGAGGGAGAGGUUCUCCAUACCCUUCUUCUUCAACCCGGCGCACUACGUGAUGGUGAAGCCAUUGGCAGAGCUGGUAGACGAGAAGAACCCGGCCAACUACGAGGAGUUCAACUGGGGGGAGUUCUUCAAGACACGGAAGAACAGCAACUUCAAGAAGCUGGAUGUGGAGAACAUCCAGAUCUAUCAUUUCAAGAAGGCCAAGUGAUGUGGGAGUCUGCAAACGGAUUAUAAGUACGCGAGGCAGUAGGAUUAAUGAUGAAAUAAAAUCCAGUUGAAAUGUGGUGUAUUGAAUGAUAAACUGCAAAAUUGGAGUUGCUAUUAAUAUAACGCAAGUGAUAUUAGAGAGGACUUGUUUGCAUGAUCAUAGAGUCUUGACUAAGUGCGCCAAUUUUAUUGCGAUGUUUCUAUUUCAAUUUACUAUAUAGUGCUUGUAAUAGAUAAGACUGGAUAUCCUUUCAUGAUGCUAUCGAGAUCUAUCAUCGAUUGGACGAGGGUUCUAUGCUGGGGUAAAUUAGGUAUUUUGAUGGCCGAGGUAGUACACUUUGCACAAUCAAGAGCUUGCAUAUGGUUAGAUCGCCACUUGGUAAAAUAUUGGAAGCCGAUCAAAUCACGAGUGAUUAUUUUAGAAUUCUUAAUUUUUUAAGAAGGGAUCAAGUUCCACGUGGGAUUACAAAUAUGAUUUAGAUUAGUGGUGCAUAGAGAAUUAGAAUUUGUUAAUAUAAGUACUCAAAAAUUAGUAUUUCGAUUUUACAUAAUAUAAUUUAUAAAAUUUAUUUAUUGAUUUCUCUUUUUUUAGUUGUCGCUUUCAGUUAUGUUCCUGUCACUUUUGUCUUCCAUUGAUGUUUUAUUAAAAAAUAAAAUAGAUAGUUUACUCUUGGUAGAAUUGAUCAUCGUAAGAAUUUGAUAACUAUUAUCUUUUAUUAAUCUUCUUUGAAGUGUCUUUAAAUAUAUGUAGAGCUUCUCUGCUUGAUAAAUAAAAGAAUUUAGAUUCUCGAUUUUGCCUUUGAGUUGAGAAGAUAAAAUUUAAUAGACUUCGCUCGUCUCCUUGAGAGUUGUCCUCUAUGCAUCAAAUUAGUUACUAGUCUUCGCAUGCUCUUUGUUCACAAUUCUGAAGCACUCGAAGUAUUUGUACUCCUUGUGUUAAGUUAGCUACUAUAAUUUGCCUAUUUAUUACCAUCAAAUUUCUCGAAUGCAAAAAGUUUUACCUAAAAAGAGUAAAAUUUUACCCCGACUUGGAGCAAGUUUAUAAUAGUUUUGGUUGUCUCUAAGACUAUACCAUCUUCUUUAUCAUUUUUAUCGCAUACACCUAUGCCUAAAAAAUAUAUAAUACACCUAUGAAUAGAGUCGCUCGAAAGUAAGAAUGGGUGAAACCGAGUGAAGGUGUCAUCGACUCGAAAUCAUCAAUAAUGUUGGUACGUGGUGUUGAAAAGGUGUCAACGAAAGUGAGGGACAUGUUAAGAUGAUGGGCAAAACCUUUUCUGAGUAGAAAAUAUCAACAAACUUUUCAUCAAAAUAGUCAAAAGUGAAAAAGACAAUCGGUGUUAACAAGCACUCCUACAUUGACCUAAAGUCUCAUGCUUUCAACAAUCUUAAUGAGAAGCUCAUUGAUAUUGAUCUUAUAAAGUUCCCCAGCCUCUAUCCAUUGGUCUUGUUUCAGUACUUGAAGAGUUUAUCUCUACAUUCUCAACUUCUUCGGCAUUUUUUAUGAUCAUGCGCUUUCUCUUCAUGAAAGCAAUGGAUCAAUAAUUCCAUGAAAGUCUCAUCUCUAUGGUACUAUAGUGCUGCCAUACCCAUGACUCUACAAUCUGUCAUCUCACAUUUGUGUCCCUUUAUUCAUAAUCAAUAUAUUUGCCUCAACGGCAAUAUAACACUUCUCCGAGUCUUAUCUUUAUUUUAAUUGAUGCUUCAUUUUUUGGUAGCUAAGACCCUCUAGACUCGUCGUUGCUUCCUUCCCUCUUUUGACCACUUACUUCAACACAUAUGUGUUCCUCCGAGCAGUUCCCCUUGGCUUAAGAAAAGAUAAACUAUAACUCUCAUGCAUGAUGUUCGACAUCAUUUUAUAGGUCCCAUAUUGAUUUUGUUCUCCUUUGUGUCCUUGGUAGCAACGCCCACUUACUCGAUCUUGUCCUCUAAUUUAUUGGGCUUCCGAAGUGAAUAUAAGCUCUAGUGUAAUCCAACUUUCUAGCCACUCUGAUCAUACCUUUUAUGAUCAAGUCUCUCAUGGGAUUUAUUGGUACUUACAUACGGAAUCCCCCUUGGUAAUAUAUAGCCCCCAUAUGUUGAUGACAAAGGCUUUCAUUCAAUACAAAAUUUGAUACACACACGGAAGACCUACAUCUAUGGUAUAAUGAUAUUUAUUCUUUGAAUCCAUAAUCCUUCUUGCCAUCAUAUUGUUCACCGAAGUGGAGGUCUCAAUAGCGCCCGAUCAUACUUCUAUAUGAUUAAAUCCCUCACAAAAAUUCUAUCGUGUGUCAAAUUGCUUUGAACUAUCCUACUAUGAUCUAUUGCACCAUGUCGGCUCUUAGUGACAUCUCCAUUAUAUUAUGAUCUUUGUAAGAUGAAUUCGGACGGUAAUCUCUCCAUGUGUGGCCUCUAUCAAUAUAUCGUAAGGCAUCUAUGACUUUUGAGUGUGUUCGUUUCUUUAGUAAUUAACUUUCGUCCAUCCGGUCACACAUUGACAAAGCAUAACUCUAAGACAAGACAGUCUAUUAUUUAGUAGCUCUCGAAGUUCAUUGAUUUUAUUGAAACUGGUGUGUUAUUGUCUUGAUCUUAGGCCUUUGUCUCCAACAUAAUCUUCGUUAUGCAUAGCUUCAUUUUUGAUAACUCGAAUGGUAGCAUUAUGAUAUAUUAUUCAAGAGUACCAUCUUUUGCGGUCUCUUGUCUCAUACUAAGGCCUUUUGACCUAAACUUCACCUCCACAAGAUGAGUCACUUUAAUCCUAUCGUUAAUUGCUUCACAGAGAUAAGGUGAAUGUUGCUCAAAGCUCUUUUUGACUUUGGCAUAAUGCAAGAUGAGUUCACUCCAUUAGAACGAGGGAUCCAUGGAAUGAUAUAACCUUACUCUUGCCUUUGUAAGAGUUCAUGUCCUUGACCUCUAUCACGGAAAACUUCAUAUCUCUAUUCUAUGUUCUAUCUUCUAUAUCGACUCCUUUCAUACAAUUUGGGCACUUCACCAAGUUCUACCCAAGUUGCUUCGUUCAUUGAUUUGCAUUGAAUUGAUAGUGACCCUCAUGCCUACAUUCCAUGGGUCAACCAUCCCUUGUAUUCGAUCUUCAUAUCAACUCUAAGUAUACAUUUAUUUGAUGUUGCUUAGGGUCACUCUUCUAAUUGAUCUCAUAAUGCAUUUACCAACACAUUAUUUCGUGCAAGAUCAUGUAAUGACUUCUCAUCAUUCACUUGGUCCAAUGAGCUUUAUGGAGCUAUCAUUUUGAGGUAUUCAAUCAAUAUGUGCGAUCAGUUACAUAUGAUUCUCCUUUUAGAGAAUCAAAACUUAUCUCUCUUUGAUAUCUGUCUCGUUCGAGUAAUUUUUCUUUUCGUAUCCUUCCCUUUAGAAGUUUUAGAUACCAUCAUUCUCACGUACUACUCUGUCUUGCUAUAUAAAUUGUGCACUAUUUUUUCACCAUGAAUGCACUGGCUAGAUUGUGACUCUUCGCCAAUACAACUCUUAAUGCACCUUUCAAGACCAUCAUUCAAAGCUUUGAAUGAUUACACGAUAAAAGAUCCAAAGUGAUUCAUCACAAUUAAAAGUCGUCAUAAAUGCUUACAUGAUACUACUAUAGAACAAGACAACGAAUCAGCCCUAGACAACGAACAAGACAUUACGAAAUUAGAAAACUCCUAAAAUGACUAUGUGAAUGUCCUAUUUUUAGAUAGUUUUAUCUCUAGGUAAUGAUUGUAUAUAAUUUAUAUUUAUAAUAUUAAAAUAAACAUAAAAAUUAAUUCAAAUGAGAUUAUCAAAUCUACUAUAAACCUUUUAUACGAAUAAAAUUAAAAGAUACUAAAAAAAUAUAAACAUUGCAUCAACCAAUUUAUAUACAUGUUUAUUCAUGACAAUAUGCAUCGAUCAAUUUGCAUAAAUAAAUUCUCCACGGCACUUAUAACCAAGACAAGAUAGAAUUGACUCCAUCUCACAGCCCAAAAACAUGCGUCAUCUGAUCCGGAAUAUAAGUAUAUAUUUUCUUGGAUCUGAAAUCCAUGCUUAUUAGCUCAUUACUGCUCUUGAAUUCUUCGUGAUGACUCAUACAAGCUGUAGAAAACUUGACCAAGCAAGCUUACUUUGUUGAUAUAUCUUUCUCUAAUUUGUGCCUAUCACUUGCAUUCUUCUGGUUUGAAUGAUGAAUGCUGCUGUUGUCUAAAGCCACCAUGAGAUAACAGUGCUGGUGUGAAUCUAAAAGAGCCAAGUCUCAUACAAGACCAUGACUCAGAGAGAGAGAGAGAGCAAGUGAGAUCGUAAAACGUGUCUAUUGGAUCUCUGCCAGUGCAGACAUCAACACCACUCUUCUGUAGGGAAACAAGGAACGAAAAGGAAUCCUCCAAUGGCAAUUCUCUGCCUUACUUGAGUCCUAUGCCUACUUCAGGAACAGAGCUGGAGAUAUUUAUAGCAAUUUGGUUAGAUAAAUCCAAAUCAACUCCGAUUCAAAUUAUCAUAUUUUAAUUGAAUCCAAUCGUAUAAAGAUUCAAUUUAUUUCGAUGUUUAAUGAUUGGAUUUGAAAAUCUUACUUGUCAAACCCAACCCAACCCAACCCAACCCAAACUAAUCGUACUACCAUAACCCAAACCCAUCAUUCCGUACCCGCGCCACAGACCUGCUUUGUGAUUGGAGUUGCUGGUAAGUCGGAGGGACUCCUUAUCCGUAUAUGGGACCCGAUGGUUUCCUUAAGCAACAAGCCAGGUAGGUUGGAUGACGUAGCUGAAGUGUCGCUCAACACCCUACGACGAAGUGACAGCCUUCCGUUCAGAUUCACCAAUAAAUCCAAUCUAAAUAAAGUGGAAGGGACAAAAGAAGCAGAGAGGAGGAAGUGCAGGGAUGGUUCUGGAAUUCGAUCCCGCCUUCAUCCAAGCCCCCGAGCACCGCCCCAAGCCCGCCGUCACCGAGGCCGGCGGCAUCCCCCUCAUCGACCUCUCCCCUCUCCACCUCCUCGAACAACACGGGGGACCACUCGUGGCGGGGUUGGAGGUGCUGGUGGCGCAGGUGGAGGCGGCUUGCCGUGACUGGGGCUUCUUCCAGGUGAUCAACCAUGGGGUGCCGCUGGCGGUGGUGGAACGAGCGUGGGCCGCGUCGAGGGGGUUCUUCGCGCUGCCGCCGGAGGAGAGGCGGCGUGUGCGGCGGAACGAGGUGAACCCGCUGGGGUACUACGAGGCGGAGAACACCAAGAACGUCCGGGACUGGAAGG
rnacentral:lncRNA from 1 species